ACUGAGUGUCUGACACAUGUACAGAGCCCACAAGCUGCCAUGAGCUAUUUCUACAUGUAACUAGGUGACUACGCCUUGCAGCUUCCCCUACGUUAUAGGCUUUUUAACUUCAUUAUGUGAUCAGGCAUGUUGCCAACUUUGAAGGCCAUUCCACACAUCUGAGUGAUCUGGCUUGCCGUCCAGGUGAUUUAAGUGCCAAUCUUGAUAAAGGUCCGCAUAAGGACCGAAACGUCGAUGAAAUACGGCAUCAACAGUGAACCCGAAUAAAAAUAUACUGAAUUUACAAGUGACUUCAGAGACUAAUUUCUGGGCGUGAGUGCACCUUCCACCUAGGUGGUUGUUGUGGUAUAUUGGUGGCCUCUCUGGUCAUUAGGAGCACCCGCCGUCGUUAUUACUUUUGAUGAGAGUGCAGGAUCUUCC